UUGUAGUGCAAGUAAUUUUGGUUCGUUCUGGCUGUAAAUAGUACCUUUUCUUUUACCAAAUAAUUUGCUGUCACGCUGACUUGCUAAGUCAAAUAAAAUAAGGUGUCAACUUAUAAUAAAAUAGUAUAUGGACCAUCCUAGAGGACUUCCUCCACCUCAUAUGAUGCGUCCUCGUGGACCAUUUGAUGGACCUUUUGGACGUCGACCAAUGCCUCCGUUUGGUCCUAGGGGACCACCACUUGAUUGGAGAUUAAGGGGCCUCCCUCCAUUUGGACAUCCCGGUAUGCUUGGUGAUUGGCGUAGAGGGCCUUUAAGAGAUUGGGGACCAAGAGGUCCACCUCCUGGAGAAUUCGGUCAUAGAGGACCUUUUAGACCUAGAGGUCCAAUGGAUGGCUUAUUUAGAGGACCAUUACCUGGAGAAUUCGGUCCCAGAGGCCUGCAUAUGCUAGGUGACUUUGGUCCUAUGGGUGAUUUUCGCGGUCCACGACCAGAUAUGUAUUUGGGUCCAGGACCAUUUGGUAUUCGAGCAUUAGGAUCUGGUGAAAGUAGUCAAUAUAAUGAAGAAAUGCUAUUAGGUGAUGCACAAUUUUCUGAAAAGUCUGAACCACAAAAAGAGAAGAAAAAAAAUAAAAAAAAGAAAAAGGAAUCUGUCGAAGAUGCUAAAUUUCCAACACAGAAAAAAGAACCAAAAGCUGAAGGAGUAAAGGAAGAGUCCAAGGAUAAGGAAAAUGAUGCUGAAGUUGAUGAGGAUAAACUUUUGGCGAGUGACGACGAUGAUUCUUCAUCUUCGUCAUCAAGUGAAGAAUCAGAUACAGAACCUAAAAAAAGCGAUACACCACAGUUACCCACAAUGCAGCAUCAGCCUAUGAUGCAUCAAAUGUCACCUCAAAGGCAUCAAAUGCGACCUGCAACUUUUUUAAAUCGUUCACAAUAUCCUCAUAGACCUAAUAUGCAAGAUCGUUUUCAACAUCAUGCUUUGCUUGAACAUCCUCCAACUAGAUUUGGAGACCAUCAACAAAUUGUAUCUUCAAUGUCGCAACAACUCAAUAUUCAAAAUCAACCUCCAACGCAAGUUCAACCUCCUCAGAUACUUCAGCCUGGUCAAGUUCUUAUUAGACAAAUGAUACCUGGUGUUGCACAGCCUGUCUUCCGUACUGUUACUCUUCAACCUGGUCAGUUGUUACCAGGUCAAAUAUCAGGGCAGCACUUAAAUAUUCAAAGUCUUCCAGAGCAGCAGGCUCAAGCUCUUCAAGCUGCUAUUCGACACGGUCAAGCAUUUCAACAAUCAAACUAUCCACGAGUUUUUCUUCCUAAUGGUCAGCAAAUUGCUGGUCAGGACAAUUCUAUUGAGCCACAAUUACCAAAACAGGCCAAUAGCAUUAUGCAAAUACCUGGUGUAUCAAAUAUUGGAGUAAAUUCUUUACAGCAGCAACAGUUAACUUCAAAUUUAUCAAAUUUAAGUCAUCAAAGACCUACUUUAUUAACAACAGCCAAUGGUAUUUCUGGACAAAUACGUAGUUUAACACCAGGUGGGCAGCCAAUUUUUAUACCAAAUUCUUCAGCUAUACCCGGUCAACCUCACAACUUGCAUGCAACACUUCAAGCAAGUCAAGCAUUAAUUCUUCAACAGCAGCAACAAUUAGCUGCUGUUCAACAGCAGCAGCUUGCUUUACAAGCACAACAUCAACAAGCCAUGCAAAAGCAACAUGGUGGAUUAGAGAUGCACGAUGGUAGGCGAAGUGAUGGUAGAGGUGAUAAUAGAUAUAGGGCUGAGGGAAAAGAUGUAAGGCGCAAUAGAGAUAAUUAUAAUAAACGUGGAAGGUAUCGAAGUCGUUCAAGGUCUUUUUCAAGAUCACAAUCUAGAUCAUGGACUGGUUCAGAAUCUGGUAGUCGAUCAUCCAUGUCUGGAUCUCAGUCUAAUUCUGAUUCUCGCUCUCGUUCAAGAUCAUGGUCAUCAGCUGAUUCUCGCUCACCUAGUCCACAACGCAAAAGAAGAGAAAAAAAUGACUUGGUUAUUAGAUCUUCUGAACGACCAAGUCGUCAACAUUCAAGUCAUCACAAAGGUCGUGAUCCUCAGCGAAAUUUAUUUAAUAAAGAUACACAAAGGUAUGAAGAGUUAGAGAAGCAAAGACUUCGUGAGAGAGAGCGACGUGAUAGAGAAACUAACUCAACAACUCGUGUAGAAAGAGUAGGCUUUAGUUCUGCUAAGCGUCAUAAAGAAGACCGUGAUCAAGAAACAAGAGAUGUUACUGGAGAGAUUAGGACGAGUGAUUUGAGAACAAGAACAGGAAAAAAGCGCGAAGAUCGUAAAGACUCAAAAUCUCAUGAUCAUGUUAGCUCAAGAGAUCAAAUAAAAACUGCACAAAGUCAAGAUGUGGGUAACAGAGUUCUUAUAAGCUCUUUACCUCCCAGUAUGUCUGAGCGAAAACUAAGAGCACUUAUGCAAUCUGUUGGAGAAGUAGAAAAUUUAAAACUGUCAACAACGCGACAUAAAGCUUUAGUUGCUUUUACAAAGACUUCCACAGCAGUUGCGUGCAGAAAGAAGUUCCAUAAGAUGACCCUCGAUGAAUGUCGUCUGAUCGUUGAGUUUGCUUGAUUGGUUUCAUGUUUCAGCUCAUUGAAAAUUCAUUUGGAUUGCUGUCAAGAAUGGCACUAUGUAGUAAAUGCAAGUAAAUAAUUAAAUAUUUUCUGAUGGAUUAAUGUUGGUAUGGUAACAUGAAGAAAUGGGUAUAAAGAAACAUUUCGUCGGAGCUUACGCUGCGCAAUAUUCAAAGAUGAAUUGUUCUGAUUGGCUGGUCUUCAAGUCAUCUAUUAGCAACUACGAGAAAAAAGAAUAUACAAUUUAAAGAUGAUUUUUCCGACUUGACGGUUUAUCAUAUUAAACUUCUAGUUGUAUGAAGGACAUUGCUUUUUUAAUUCGUGUUUUAAUAGAUGUUUUUUAAUCGUGUUUUA
rnacentral:misc_RNA from 1 species